UACGAAGGAUCCUAGCGUUGUCCGGAUUUACUGGGUUUAAAGGGUGCGUAGGCGGAUAAUUAAGUCAGUGGUGAAAGCCGACAGCUCAACUGUCGAAUUGCCAUUGAAACUGAUUAUCUCGAGUAUGGUUGAGGUGGUUGGAAUGUUGCAUGUAGCGGUGAAAUGCUUAGAUAUGCAACAGAACACCUAUUGCGAAGGCAGAUCACUAAGCCAUUACUGACGCUGAGGCACGAAGCGUGGGGAUCAAACAGG
rnacentral:rRNA from 1 species